rnacentral:rRNA from 1 species
CCUACGGGCGGCAGCAGUGAGGAAUAUUGGUCAAUGGACGAGAGUCUGAACCAGCAAAGCAGCGUGAAGGAUGACUGCUCUCUGGGUUGUAAAUUUCUUUUAUAUGGGAAUAAAACAGGCUAUGCAUACUGUCUUGUAUGUACCUUAUGAAUAAGGAUCGGCUAACUCAGUGCCAGCAGCCGCGGUAAUACGGAGGUUCCGAGCGUUAACCGGAUUUAUUGGGUUGAAAGGGAGCGUAGGUGGAUUGCUAAGUCAGUUGUGAACGUUUGCGGCUUAACCGUAAAAUUGCAGUUGAAACUGGCAGUCUUGAGUACAGUAGAGGUGGGCGGAAUUCGUGGUGUAGCGGUGAAAUGCUUAGAUAUCACGAAGAACUCCAGUUGCGAAGGCAGCUCACUGGACUGCAACUGACACUGAUGCUCGAAAGUGUGGGUAUCAAACAGGAUUAGAUACCCGAGUAGUC